AUAUCCACGUGUGCCCUUUUCUGCUCCAUGUUGCUCCACUUUCUUCUUCUUCUUUGUUAUUCUAUUCAUUCUAUUUUUGUCUCUUCUACAUGUGCUGAUAAUUGCUCAUUUCUUUUUGUCUUUGUUUUUGGUUCGUUUGAUGCUACAUUUUUGCUCAAUCAGAGAUGGAUCAAAGAAUUGAAAGAUGUGAUACUGACGAUUGACUUAGAUGCUUCUCCACCGACAGAGAUUUGAUUUGGAGGUAAUCGUGAAUAGGUAAAAUAUCUUCUCGAUUGUUCAAAUUUUUGGGGAUUUACUCCAUAUUUUUUUUCCUUUCAAAUUUUGGGCCUAUCUGUUUACAUCUUCUCUGUAAUUGUAUUUUGUGGUUUUCUUGAUUUCUCAAUAUGCGACAAUGCAUAUAAUUUAUUAUUCAUUUAGUUGGAAUAUAAUGGUUGCAAAAUUAUGAUUUCACGGGUUUUGAAAGUAGUAGCCGAUCAAGGGAAGAAAAUGGCACUGCUUGUGUCGACUCUACGAGGUAAUUUUUGCACUUUGUUUGUUCUAAUGUUAUAUGCUUAGUUAUAUUUCUAAAUUGUUGUGAAACCUAUAGUAGAUACGACUAAAUAACAAGAUGUGAUAGAAAUAAAAAAAAUAGCCCAUAACCUGAAAGACUGGUAAUGGAAGAACAAAAAAAUGAUCCACUGGAAAAGGCUAUGAACCAAAAAAGGUAAGCAAGAAAGUUAUACUCAAUCAAAUUUUUCCCAUUUUAUUCAAUCAGAUUACUCCGUGAAAGUUUAUUGGAGAAACAAAUUGGAAGAUUAAAGCUUUUCUCUUUAUUUGUGAAAGAGUCGCGAUGUUGAUGAAUGAGAUGGAGUUUUCUUGUGCCUAGAGAACUACUAAAGAAGCAGCAUAGCCAGUAACAACUUUUUGAUACAUUCAACCUUUAUUUGGAGAAAGUAAAGAGUUCAAAAAAAGGUAUAAGCAAUAAUUCUCAAAACUCAGAAACAAGUGUAAUUGGAUCAAGAAAGCAAAUAUUUUUUUAUCUCUAAUUUCUCUGUGUGUACUUUGUUCUAUAGAAAGUAGGAAGAUUCUUAUGCAUUUGAGAGAGGGCUUAAAUCUGUAGUUUCAGUAAUGAAAACUUUUAAAUUUGUGUUUGAGGCUGUAGAGGGAAAACAUAGAUGUGGAUUUCCAGAUUUCUGAUGUUGAUGGUUAAACUUCUAGGUCUUAUUGGUCUUGAGAUGGAUCUUCCAGUCAUAAAUAUAAGUUUUAUUUAUCUUAAUCGUAAAUAUAUCCUUUAUGUUUUCUUUGGUUGUGGUUAGCUAAAAUAUUGUAGCAUCAAGUAUUGGGUAUCUUAAACUUUAACAUAUAUAUAUAUAUAAUGUUUUUCCUAAGCCGUAAAGAUUUAUUGCAUCUAUUGAUUAAUGAAUUUCGUUUGCCCCGUGUUAUUAGCAAAACAAUGACAACAAGCUUGUAAUGGACGGAGCAACUCAUAGUGCUUGUUUCUAUUUGGUGACCUGUCAGCUUGAGGAGCUAAAUAUGCACGGAAAUAUCUAAUGAGAAAAAAUGUGGACUGUGACAACGAGAACAAGUCUAACAAUCAAGACAAGCCUCAUCAAAUAGGAGGAAGAGGUGAGAAGCACAACUUUCAGGCGAAGCAGAUCAAACGGGAAUCUUAACAAGAAAAGGAAGGAUGAAGAAGAUGCAAGCAAUGAAAAUCCUGCAAUUGAAAAGAGAACUCAUGUUUUUUGGUCUAUAAAGUUUCACAGGGAUUCCUAAUGAAAGCUUCACAUAGAGCUUCAUAGGAAGCUUGUUGCAGCAGUUAAUUAUUUAUGCAUUGGAAGUGAUUUCUUUAGCAUCACUGUGGAAGAUUUUGACCUGAUGAAUGUUGAAGGAGUUACAAGAGGGAAUGUGGCAAGCCAUCUCCAGCCUAACAUUUGUUGUUGGGGAAGAGAUAUUGACCUGCGCAAUAUUGGUCGGAAACAAAUGAAGAAUCACAGGUACUCUUCUUUCGAUAAGGUCGGGAGAAAAUGACGAUGCUGCGGACGAGAACGCAUGGAGGUUGCUUGAACAAGUUUAAGAACAGCCCCUAUACGUAAAACCACUUGGUGUCAUAAGUCAUUGAAUGCUUGUUUAGUUGGUAAAAAAGAAGUAUGUGAAUCUAUGUUUUAGUUGUAAAUAUUAAAUUAUAAUAGGUUCAUUACUGUUAGACCAACUUUGAGAUUAAUGCAAUAGUUUUUUUUAUA